rnacentral:rRNA from 1 species
ACGAACGCUGGCGGCGUGCUUAACACAUGCAAGUCGAACGGAAAGGCCCUGCUUGCAGGGUACUCGAGUGGCGAACGGGUCAGUAACACGUGGGUGAUCUGCCCUGCACUUCGGGAUAAGCUUGGGAAACUGGGUCUAAUACCGGAUAGGAGCCAUCUUUAGUGUGGUGGUUGGAAAGUUUUUUCGGUGUAGGAUGAGCUCGCGGCCUAUCAGCUUGUUGGUGGGGUAAUGGCCUACCAAGGCGGCGACGGGUAGCCGGCCUGAGAGGGUGUACGGCCACAUUGGGACUGAGAUACGGCCCAGACUCCUACGGGAGGCAGCAGUGGGGAAUAUUGCACAAUGGGCGCAAGCCUGAUGCAGCGACGCCGCGUGGGGGAUGAAGGCCUUCGGGUUGUAAACUCCUUUCGCUAGGGACGAAGCUUUUUGUGACGGUACCUAGAUAAGAAGCACCGGCUAACUACGUG